CCUUUGACAUUUAUGUGAUUAUUAUCAUCCUUAUCACUCCAUGAUUUGUGGAAUUCCUUAUCACUCCAUCAACUCACACAUUUGGUAUCAAGAUGAGGCUGUUGACUGUUAAUAGUGCACAAUGGAGCAAGGAUUCGUGUUUUAGAGGAGCAACGGGUCCCAUCACUGCCUCAGAAUCGGGUUCUUUCAGCCUCAUCUUUAUCGAAAUCAGGAACUUGCAUUUUUAAAUUGAUUGAUCAUGAAUCUGUUAGCUGGAGGAGAGGUGUAGUCUCAGACCCUAUUUGUGGUACCUAUGGUGAAGAGGCUAAAUCCUUCGAGCAUAUUUUCCUCAUUGUUCUACAACGAUAAGGGUUCGGCGUCUGUCGCCCCUGCGUUUGACACUUCCGUUAUUUCUCUAUCUUGGCUUAACUGGUUUGUGCAGUUAAUGGAAUCCCUCCGUCGGGAGUAGCUUCAGUUAGUUCUUAUGAUAGCUUGGGCAUUAUGGCAAUCGAGGAACUCAUGGCUGUAUCAACAAAAAAAGCUUUCUAAUGUUGAGAUUGUACAGUCUGCUUUUAAUUUAUUUCAUGAUUUUCUGUAUAUGUUGGUUUGCCAUAGUAACAGCCAGCCGAUGUUCAGCCGUAGAUUCAAUGUACUAAUUGGUUAUGGCAGCAGCAGCUAGAUGCACAAACCUCACUGUUCCUCCGACUGAAGCAAAAAUUGAAGCAGCCAUCUAUAGCCUCGAACUUGUUGUCGAGUUAAGCUUCACCCGACUACAUUUUGAGACGGACUGCAUGGAAAUCAUAUCUGGCUUAAAAGCACACAACGUUCCUACUAAUGAGUUUGGUACUCGCCUUCUGAUGCUGUGAGUCUUAAUAACUUAGCUCACUCAUUUUGUGUUUAGCCAUGUUAGUACGAAAGGCAACUAUGUUGCUCACUCUCAAGUAAAAGAGGAGCUCAUUUGGGUGGAAGAUAUCCCACCUCACUGUUUGUCUCUAUUAUUAGCUGACUUGUUGCAGUGAUUUAUAAAUUUCAAUGUUCCUUUUUUUUAAAAA